rnacentral:rRNA from 1 species
CCUACGGGUGGCAGCAGUGGGGAAUAUUGCGCAAUGGGCGAAAGCCUGACGCAGCGACGCCGCGUGAGGGAUGAAGGUCCUCGGAUCGUAAACCUCUGUCAGCAGGGAAGAACGGUCACUGUGCUAAUCAGCAGUGAAUUGACGGUACCGGCAAAGGAAGCACCGGCUAACUCCGUGCCAGCAGCCGCGGUAAUACGGGGGGUGCGAGCGUUAAUCGGAAUUACUGGGCGUAAAGGGCUCGUAGGCGGUAUGGCAAGUCAAGGGGGAAAUCCCCGCGCUCAACGUGGGAACUGCCCUUGAAACUGGCAGGCUGGAGUGUGUGAGAGGAAAGUGGAAUUCCAGGUGUAGGAGUGAAAUGCGUAGAUAUCAGGAGGAACAUCGGUGGCGAAGGCGACUAUCUGGCACAUAACUGACGCUGAGGAGCGAAAGCGUGGGUAGCAAACAGGAUUAGAUACCCUUGUAGUC